rnacentral:rRNA from 1 species
ACUCCUACGGGAGGCAGCAGUGGGGAAUAUUGCACAAUGGGCGCAAGCCUGAUGCAGCCAUGCCGCGUGUAUGAAGAAGGCCUUCGGGUUGUAAAGUACUUUCAGCAGUGAGGAAGGUGGGUAUGUUAAUAAGCAUACUUCAUUUGACGUUAGCUGCAGAAGAAGCACCGGCUAACUCCGUGCCAGCAGCCGCGGUAAUACGGAGGGUGCAGCGUUAAUCGGAAUUACUGGGCGUAAAGCGCAUGCAGGUGGUUUGUUAAGUCAGAUGUGAAAGCCCGGGGCUCAACCUCGGAAUUGCAUUUGAAACUGGCAAACUAGAGUACUGUAGAGGGGGGUAGAAUUUCAGGUGUAGCGGUGAAAUGCGUAGAGAUCUGAAGGAAUACCGGUGGCGAAGGCGGCCCCCUGGACAGAUACUGACACUCAGAUGCGAAAGCGUGGGGAGCAAACAGGAUUAGAUACCCUGGUAGGAUAGCGU